rnacentral:misc_RNA from 1 species
CCUCGUCGCACGUUGCUCACCGCGGCUGUGGCGAUGCAGAUGCAGCCGAGUGUUUACGUGAGAAAUCAGCUACACACCGAACUGAAAAAAAGGACGAAGAGAGCACUAGAAUAUUGAAAGGGCUUCUUGGUUACCCGACGAAGGGCUUGUGUGCGGAAAUGCUCGCCGGUAUUUUUUUCUCUGAAUCGCGAGACAAUGACGAUAGAUGCGUGCGCUGGGGGAAGAGGAGAGGGCAACGUCCUACUAGAAUUGGCGUUUGCCUUUUAUACUAUGGCCACUGUGCGCGCCGUUGCAAAAGUUGUCUAACCGCUCCUUGAUGUUUAUGGAAACAGGGCAGCUGUGUUCCCCACCUCCCUUCCGGACGAUUUGACAACUCCGCUCCCUCUACACACACUCUUUCAAUGCUUGCUCUUCGCCUCUCCUCGGAUGCCAGGAUUCACUGCGGGUUACUUACUUUUUCGGAACCUGAGCCAUUGCGUUGAAGUACCGUUUUUGCGCCGAGGGGCUCCAGCACGAGAAGCUUCUUCUCAGAGAGGUGAUAGCACGACGGAAAACACGUGAGAGUCGCCUCCACGUUUCUAACUUUGGCGCGCGUUCACUCUCCGUCGUCACCUUUUGUAAGGCGUGAAUAGCCAGAGGGAGAAGCCUGCGCCUCGUUUCUCUGCCUCCUUCUCUUCCUCUUCCUCUUUCUCUGCUGAAUAUCGCGCCUCUGCCAUGCCAGCAGGCAUGAAGGGUGUCGCUGCGGAUGAGGUGGCGAAGUUCGCCUCUCUGCAGAAGCACUGGUGGGAUCCGACGGGACCGCUGCGCUCUCUGCAUCUCUUGAAUCCGAUCCGUGUGCGCUACGUGAACAACAUUGUACGCUCUUUCGGCAAUGUCGGCGGCAGCUCGUGCGAUACGUCGAUUGGCUUUUCCAGGGACUCUGGGCUCACGCCACAACAUCAAGUUCUGGACGUCGGCUGCGGCGGCGGUAUUCUGGCAGAGAGCCUAGCCCGCAUUGGCGGCACCGUCACCGGCAUCGACGCCUGCGCCGAGUCCAUCGAGGUUGCGGAGAAGCGUCGUCAGCAGCUGGAGGCCAAUUUCAUAGCCUCCUCGCAGGCAUUCAACUGGCCCCAGCGACUCUCGUACCGUCACGUAUCCCUGUUUGACGUUGUGGAGCAGGAGAAGAGGCAGUUUGACGUCGUCGUGGCGAGUGAAGUAAUCGAGCACGUGAGCGAUGCACGGGCGUUUCUGCAGGCCCUCUGUGAGGCGACGAAGCCUGGUGGGCUUCUCUUCCUCUCCACCAUGGACAAAUCGCUGAAGACGGCCAUCGCAUACAUCGGGGUGGCCGAGAUGCUCACGGGGCUCGUGGAGCCGGGCACACAUGACUGGCGCAAAUUCAUUCCGCCAGAUGACGUGACCAAGUUUGCGCAGCGCUUUGGUGUGCGCAAGGUGGACCAGCACUACAUAGUCACCUACCCGGAUGUCUGCCAGUCCUUCGUCUCGUGCAACUUCCAGGUAAACUUUUGCCUGUCCAAGCACGUGAACACGGGGCACUACUUAUGGGCGGGUCGUAAGUCCUCCCCGGAAGCGGGAAUGCAGGCAUCCGUGCCUCCUGGCGAAGGAUGUGUGCCACACGCACCCGAGUGCAACGAAAAUGAGUUUUCGCUGCAGCCGCGUGGAAAUGGGAGCGCGGAUGCAACGGAGUCUUCCUAGCAGCACACAGGCGUCCUUUCUCUUCAACGACUGCGUGCUCGUGCAUGUGCACGUGUCGUGUCUUGAGUGGCCUUGUGUCGGUGGCGCCAGGCCUCUUGCGAAGCGCAGGGUCUCUUGGUGCACCGACCCUCCCCCCUUCACACGUUCGCAGGCGCCGUAGCGAAAGGAGGUUGAACGUGCGGCCUGUCCUUAUCCGGACAAGAGCAGCCAUG